rnacentral:rRNA from 1 species
AGUAAUACAUAGGAAUCUGCCCAGUAGCGGGGGACAACUCGGAGAAAUCCGAGCUAAUACCGCAUACGCCCUACGGGGGAAAGCAGGGGAUCUUCGGACCUUGCACUAUUGGAUGAGCCUAUGUCAGAUUAGCUUGUUGGUGGGGUAACGGCCUACCAAGGCGACGAUCUGUAGCUGGUCUGAGAGGACGAUCAGCCACACUGGGACUGAGACACGGCCCAG